ACUUAGUUGCCAGUAUGUUAACGCGUUUAAAAGAAGGAAAUGUAAUAACUAGGUUAUUAAACCUAGUUAAAUGCCUAGCAAAACAAGAAAGGAAAUGAAAUUGGGUCAAUUAUGAUUAAGUGACAAACAUGAGGGGUUAGUUUUGAAUGAGUGAAAAGAUAAAAUAUAAAAAAUAAAAUUAAAAACCCCACACCCACACCUGGGCGUAUGUGGGUGUUCGACCAGAGAAGAGAAAGAAGGGGGAAACCCCUUCUCAAACCCUAAUCGACCAACUUGGAUGGAUUUUGGCUGAAAUCGAACUUGCAUGAACAAGAUUCUUGAUUGUUCAACUCUGUAAAACACAUGGAAUCCCAAUGGACAUGGACUCAAGAAUAGAAGGCUAACGGAUCAAGGGUAAAUAAAGAAGCUAUGCACAACUCGGACGCACGAUGUAAGUGAUUCCAAUUCACUUCUUAGUAUGUACGUAGUAUUUAUUAUUUAUGUGUAGAAAAAUAUGCAAGAAUCAUGUAAUGAAUGAGAAGUAUUGAGGUAAGUACUAUUUUAGUAUAACAAAGGAGUUGUUUAUAAUGAAAGUAAACUUGUAGGAUUAGACGGGUCAAAUAAUGUAUAAAGGGGUUUAUAAGCCGUUUGCUUAUAAAUCAGAUUUUGAUGCGACCCGAAGUGAUAAACAGAUCCGCAAUUAAAUUACGGGCGCGUAGGAAAAAGAAUCGGGUAAAACGGAUCAAAAAUGAGAGAGUUAUGUCCGUUUCGGUAAGAAUUAAUGGCUGGGAAAAGUGCAGAGCUGACACGGCCGGGUGGUGAGCUGACACGGCCGGGUGAAGGUUCUGUGAAAAAUAUAUGGUUAGUUGACACGGCCGGGUGGUUAACCCGACCCGGCCGGGUGAAGGGGCUGAAAAUAAAAAAAAAUAUAUAUAUAUAUAUAUGUAAGUAGGAAGUGGUUGCUAUGAAUGCACGUAAAAAUUAGGAAUGUAUACGUUUGUGAAUGCGAAAUAUUAUAAAUGUAUGAAGAAAUGGUAUGGAAUGGUUUCAUUAUGUUCGAGCAUUAAUGAUUGCUAAUGGUGUUUUUGAGAUUGAAAUGCAUUGCAGGUAUAUGAACACCGGGUUCUUGAAGUAUCGAAGUCGAACUCUGAAUAAGAAAAUACGAAAGGAUAGUUAAAUAAAUCAAAGUUUCAUUGUUAAAUGUUAUUCACUAUUAGAUUAUAUGAGAAUCAUGUUGUAUAACGUUGUCAAUGACUAAUGGUUAAGUUGUAUGUGAUGUUCACAGGUAUUGCACGUAUCUCUACCACUACUAUCGAAGAUAAGCAUACAUUGAUCGAGCCCAAAAUUAAAGAUUGUACGGGAAGAACGGCCACAUAGUCUGAUUUAUGUAUUGUCUUGAAGCGUUACCUUAAUGUGGUUAUUGUUAACCCCUUUUUUGUAAAUGUUUACCAUUUGUAUUUGAGCUUUUAAAUAAGUAAUGGGUCUAAAUAAGAAAGAAAAUUUUUGGGCUCAUAUUUUCCGUUGCGUCAUGUUUAAGUUCUUACAGGGAAUUGUUCAUUAUACGAACGGGUCAUGCCCGAAUUUUGUAAAUAAUAAUACUUAUUUGGAAUAAGAAUUAUGGGCGUUACAAGUUGGUAUCAGAGCCCUGGUUUGAGGGAAAUCAAGUAUGAGGAGGUAAAUACUUGAACUCAAACCUACGUGCUCUUGUAACCAGGAACCUGUACAAUCCAGGACUCGAUCAAGAUCUAAAGGUAAAAGCGAAUGUAAGUAUGUAUUUAUGCAUGUGAAUAAAGAAACUAACGGUUUUGUAUGUGCAAGGUAAGCAUAAGUGUUUGAAGAGGAUGGUCCGUGGAUGCAGAAUAAGAUGAAUACUAAGGCAGGCAAAGAUGCAAAUAGGCAAAUUAACCCCAGGUACACGCCAUUAAUAUGUAUGGGUACCGAUGUUAAAAGAAAAAGGAAGAGAUCUCCUUGGGAGGGUAAUUAUUAAACGAAAGACAAUGACGUGGUCUUGGGGAAGUUUUAGAAAUAUGUACGAAACUGAAACCCACUUCUUGGACAUAAGGCGAUGAUUACACGAAGGCACGAAACUAGUAUGUGGAUUGCGCACUUGGCCAGUACGCAAGAAGCAUAUGACGUUCGUGAGACCGUGGUAAUUAUCGCAGGUAUGUCUGGUAGAACUGGGUAGCAGGUGGGCGUGCAGGUGAAAUGGGUAAUAAGACUUUCGGGAAAUUGAGGAUACUACGUAAGAGUAAAAAGUAUAAGUGAUAAGAAUGAAGAAUGUUGAAUCCGUAAGAAAGUACGGAUCAACAAGAUAUGAAUGCAAAGUUUGAAUCCGCGAGACGGAUUCAAAGAAUGAAAGAUAUGAAUGAUAUGUUAGAAUCCGCGAGACGGAUUCAAAGAAUGAAAGAUAUGAAUGAUAUGUUAGAAUCCGCAAGACAGAUUCAAAGAAUGAAAGAUAUGAAUGAUAUGUUAGAAUCCGCGAGACGGAUUCGAAACAUGAAAGGGAUGAAAGAUAUGAAUGAUAUGUUAGAAACCGCGAGACGGAUUCGAAACAUAGAAGGGAACGAAUGAUGGGAUGAAAAAGUUCGAAAUUGUAAAUAGGCACGAAUCAGAUAAGUAAGAAUGGAUGACAAUAGUGAAGGGCUCAAAAUUUUUAAUAAUUAUAGAUAGAACGAGUAAAUAUUCCUUGUGAAGCGGAUACUAUUAUUGCUAUGUUUUGAACUUAUAUAUAUGUAAAUAUAUGAAUAUAAUUACGCUCAAGUAUUGUAUGAAAGGAUGGCUGAAAGGAUAAAUGAGUUACGCGGGUCAAAUGGUGAGUACCAUUUGAACCAGGUAUUAAUGUUUGAAAUGGUUAAGUUAUUUAAUUGUAGGUGAGCAUGAUAUACGGAAAUGUAAUGUCACAAACUGGAAGGAAAUAGUCAAGCAAAAUAUGGAUAACAAGUCAAUGGAUUUCGACUUGUGUCAGGUAUGUAUAAAAGGUAUGCAUUUAAUAGGAGUUUAUGACUCGACUAGAGAUGGAUGCGUCAGGAUAGAAUAAUCGAUAGGCAUAUGUAAGAUUGUAUUUACAAAGUAGACUCCCGAAGGUCAAACGAAAUAUAAUGAUAAGUAAUAAAGCAAGUAAUAAAAUGCGGGUAAAAAGGUGAUUGUAGUUUGACUCUUGAGAAGACGAAUGAAGAUGAAUUGUUAAUAAUAAAAGAAGUAAUAGAGAAUGGAUAGAUUAGUUCGGUCCAUUAAGUAGGUAUGAAACAUCGAAAACGGUUGAUGUGGCAAGAAGUUGUAGCCGUAAGAAAUAAACAUUGGAUAAAUUACAAGCGUGAAAUAUGUUGAUACUUGACUCUAGAGAGUCAAAGUGAAUGACGGGUUACGACCCGGGCGAAAGACCUAAGCUUUAAUGGAAAGGACAAGUGUACGUGAGGAGCACUAAAGCAUAAAGUGAUGAAAUUAAAUAUAUGCUUGAAUUGACAAGAAGUACAAACAUGUACUUCGUUAUGUGUAUUCAUAAAAGAGAAAGAAGUGGCAGGUUGACUUUGAAAAGUCAAACUGCAGAAGUUGAUAAAUAAGUUAAAAAAAAUUGCGGAAUAACAGUUAUGUAUUGAACCAUCGUGAAUGGGUCAAACAACUAAAAUGAUAUGUUAAGAAAUGGUCAUGUAUAGACCUGUUUUGUACAGGUGGAACGCAUCAAUGUUCUACGAAGGAGUUGAGAAAGUAUUAAUAUAUAAAUAAGGAACCAGGAUGUGAUAAUCCUAGUAAGGUCAGUGAGAGAAUGUUCAUAAGCGAAAGCUCGUCACACGGAUGAAUGAGGUCAAUCCGAAACAUGGUAUGGAUGGUGACGAAGAGGACCGGCUCGUUUCUGCAUGUCCAAGUACUGCGUCAAGGAAGUAAGGAAUCCCAAUGGACAUGGACUCAAGAAUAGAAGGCUAACGGAUCAAGGGUAAAUAAAGAAGCUAUGCACAACUCGGACGCACGAUGUAAGUGAUUCCAAUUCACUUCUUAGUAUGUACGUAGUAUUUAUUAUUUAUGUGUAGAAAAAUAUGCAAGAAUCAUGUAAUGAAUGAGAAGUAUUGAGGUAAGUAUUAUUUUAGUAUAACAAAGGAGUUGUUUAUAAUGAAAGUAAACUUGUAGGAUUAGACGGGUCAAAUAAUGUAUAAAGGGGUUUAUAAGCCGUUUGCUUAUAAAUCAGAUUUUGAUGCGACCCGAAGUGAUAAACAGAUCCGCAAUUAAAUUACGGGCGCGUAGGAAAAAGAAUCGGGUAAAACGGAUCAAAAAUGAGAGAGUUAUGUCCGUUUCGGUAAGAAUUAAUGGCUGGGAAAAGUGCAGAGCUGACACGGCCGGGUGGUGAGCUGACACGGCCGGGUGAAGGUUCUGUGAAAAAUAUAUGGUUAGUUGACACGGCCGGGUGGUUAACCCGACCCGGCCGGGUGGAGGGGCUGAAAAUAAAAAAUAUAUAUAUAUAUAUAUAUGUAAGUAGGAAGUGGUUGCUAUGAAUGCACGUAAAAAUUAGGAAUGUAUACGUUUGUGAAUGCGAAAUAUUAUAAAUGUAUGAAGAAAUGGUAUGGAAUGGUUUCAUUAUGUUCGAGCAUUAAUGAUUGCUAAUGGUGUUUUUGAGAUUGAAAUGCAUUGCAGGUAUAUGAACACCGGGUUCUUGAAGUAUCGAAGUCGAACUGUGAAUAAGAAAAUACGAAAGGAUAGUUAAAUAAAUCAAAGUUUCAUUGUUAAAUGUUAUUCACUAUUAGAUUAUAUGAGAAUCAUGUUGUAUAACGUUGUCAAUGACUAAUGGUUAAGUUGUAUGUGA